AACGCACGAGACCUGCGGACCUGCGGAAGGAUCAUUACCGAGUUAUCCAACUCCCAACCCCUGUGAAUUAUACCUUUAAUUGUUGCUUCGGCGGGACUUCGCGCCCGCCGGGGACCCAAACCUUCUGAAUUUUUUAAUAAGUAUCUUCUGAGUGGUUAAAAAAAUGAAUCAAAACUUUUAACAAUGGAUCUCU
rnacentral:misc_RNA from 1 species